AGCAGCCGCGGUAAUUCCAGCUCCAAUAGCGUAUAUUAAAGUUGUUGCAGUUAAAAAGCUCGUAGUUGAAUUUCGGGAUCAAUGUUUCGGUCAUGCCCUUGGUAUGUACUGAUAUUAUUGGUUUCUCACCUUCUAAAGAACCGUAAUGCCAUUAAUUUGGUGUCACGGGGAAUUAGGACUGUUACCUUGAAAAAAUUAGAGUGUUUAAAGCAGGCUCACGCUUGAAUACAUUAGCAUGGAAUAAUGAAAUAGGACAUCCGAUUCUAUUUUGUUGGUUUCUAGGAUCGAUGUAAUGAUUAAUAGGGAUAGUUGGGGGCAUUAGUAUUCAAUUGUCGGAGGUGAAAUUCUUGGAUUUAUUGAAGACUAACUACUGCGAAAGCAUUUGCCAAGGAUGUUUUCAUUAAUCAAGAACGAAAGUUAGGGGAUCGAAGACGAUCAGAUACCGUCGUAGUCUUAACCAUAAACUAUGCCGACUAGGGAUCGGAUGAUGUUAAUUUUUUAAUGACUCA
rnacentral:rRNA from 1 species